UGGACGCUCAUGACCCCAAAGAGGAGUUGGGGACCAUCGGGACAAUGCAGGGAAGGUGGCAGGAAACAAUGUCCCUCAGUUCUUGAAAAUUAAUAUAUAGAUUUCCCUUGGGUUUUUGUUCGCAUUUCUAAGUGGCUUUAUAUAAAACGGAUAUGCUUAAUUUACUAACAGAUAGAUUUUUUUUUUAAGUCUAAGCAAAAACCAUAUCCCAGGUUGCCACGUGCAGAGAAGAGAAGCUGUCCCAGUGAUGGUGGAGAGACAUAAUGCGCAGCAACUGUUUGAAGGGCGGAAUGAAGGCACAUCCUGAUGUCUUGGCGCUAAGAGAAGGAAAAGGAUAUUUACAUAAGAUGAGACGCCAAUAAAUCGGAAAGUUCAAUGUGCUUAGAAAUAGACAGUGGCUGGGACAAUGAUGAAGGAAUCACAUUGCUGCAGCAGACUGCAUCUCUCAUGUUUAAUUUUCGUUUAAUUCCUGAGGAAGGCAGAGGCUCAAAGGAAUGACUCACCCUCACACUCAUCCUUCAGAAACACUCUUGCCGACCCCUCGGACGCCAAAUCCUGGAAAUACCUUUAUUUUUUACUUUCCUGAGUUGAUCAUCUUUCACAGGGUGUUUAUUGAUCAGAAGCAAUGCUCAUCUGGGGUUCAGCCACGAAGCGGUGUUUCAAACCAGGCAAAGAGGUACAAGGUGGACAUUUCCAGCCUGUUCAUCUGAACUGAUUCAACUGUCGUCAUCUUCGUGCCCGGAGAGAACACCAAAAUGAACAUGUGCCUCGUACUAAGAAAUCCCAGGAUUGUCACAACCCGUGCCAGCUGUUGAGGUUAUGACACCUGUGCCAGCUUCGCCAGCUCUGCCCACUGUCAUCUGCUCCAACUGCUCCAUCUGCACUGUUUGUACCAAUUCUCCCAUUUCUGCAUCUGUACCUUCUGCAGAGACGUUUCCAACAAUGCCAGCUGUGUCAUUGGUGCCAAAUAUGCCAGAUGUUCUAUUUGUCCACCCUGGGCCAAAUCAAUGCAGUUCUGUGCUCAUUAGUUUUAGCUGGUAGAUUCUAUUUUACAAUUUUUUGAGACAUAUUUAGAUGGAAUCCAGGCAAAAAUCCCCCUUACAACCAUUUCACAUCGCGCUCUCCAAUCUUUUUUGCCACUGCAACUUUAUCUAGCAACAUAAAGUUGGUCAAUGUCCUCUUGAUCAUAUUAAACUCAUUCUCAGUAACCAGUUCAGCGUUCAUUGUGGCAGGGCCUUUCCUGUAUAGAAGAAAAUAUUGCAGAAGCUGUGGGACACAACAAUAAAUUGGCGAGCUAAUUAAAAAAGAAUAACUUCGUUCAGAUAAACAAAUUGAGAAUGUGCAAAAAUCAAUAUGUCUAGCCGAUUAGAGUAAUCUAUGGCAUAAUGUUCUAUUAGGCUGUCUGUUUAUUGGUCUUUAAUUGACACAGUUACACGUGUGGAUUGAUGUGUGUGUCAUCCAUUCCCCUUCUCUGGGUUAGGGUUAGUAUUAACCAAGGAUGCAUGCAGGGGUAGGGCCAGGCUGUUGCACUGGCCACUUACUAAUGGAAGGAAGCAAGGUCAGGAGCUUAUGCUCUGGCCAGAAGCUAACUCUCUCUCUUCUCUCAAAUGUCAAUUCUACGAGUGCCAACACAAACCAUUCUUUGGAUAAGAAUGCGCUUUCAUCUGUAAGGUUGAAAAACAACAAAAAAAGUAUUUUCAUACUCAAAAGCUCAGUAUUCUAUAUCAUUGCAAACCCAAAAGUAGUGUUUUCCUCUUCUCUUCUCUUUUUUCUUUUCUGUUCUCAUUUAGGAAGGCCUUUCUUAAGGAGCACUAACACUUAAUCUCCAAACUUUACACCAGAUUCUUUCCUCUCAAAUCAUUUUCAGAUAUGGAGGAUGAACCCAGAGUCUGUCAUAUGAAAAUUGAUGCUUUACUAAGGAAUGUGAGGUCCAGAGGACAUCACACUACCUCCUGUUUAUUCAACUUGGAUUAUUUAACCUGCUGUUUCCAAUGAUGAAAGUUGUAACCAUUCACCAGUGCUUCAAAGCAUUAAUGGUGACAUUCUUGACAACAGAUAAAAUGGCUCACGAUUACAUUUGUACUCAGUCUAUGCAUGUGGCAAGGUACAGUGAGGAGAUGUCUCAACAGCUUUAUGAGGUUUCAAACUCCACACAGUAAACACUAAGCUUCCACAGGGAAUUACCAAAUUACCCUAAAACAAAUGAAUCUGUCUAGGUCUUAGGCUAAAAAUCCUAGUGACCUCAUUUCUUCCCAGACAAGGGUCUGUAGGCUGAGAGUCCAGACACACAUGGGCAAUGGUUUCAGGACAUGCCAGUAUUCCUGUAUGGGUAGAAUACCCUCGAUUCAAUCGUACUUUCCCCUUAUGGGGUCAGUGAUCAUUUCUCAGUAUCCCGAGUCCUUCACUCUCUUACCCAAAUUUCAUUUGUUUCUGAUCUUUUCACUCCAUACCUUUUUAUAAUCUUCCCUGAACAUAGAGAGGAGACUGAAUGAACAUUGAUUAAGUAAAAUGGUGGCUUUCUAUCAAAAUAUGCCCAAGUUCCUAACUUGAGAGAUCAAGUCUGAGUAUGCUGACCCUACUUCUAGAAAUGCCACAGACUUUUUUAUUCUAAUUCCCUAUGUUCCAAGAUGCCAAGAGGGAACAUCCGUAAUUAGGAUGAAAAUAGUUUUAUGAUUCGUUGGGAGUGUACCCUGUAUCUUCCCAGAACAUUUUAAUUAAUAUAACUUCUGCUCCCUGCUGACAAAGAUGUUUCCGAUGGUGUUUUGGCCCAACAUAUUUACCGCCUUCAUUGAUGUGAGUCAUUUGAAUACUUGGAGGAAUCCAUAAACUUCAAGGUUUCAUGUAAAAUACAGAAUCGAGUGUCACGAGUGCCACGGAGGCAUACACAGCUGAGGAUAUUUUUCAUCGCCUAUCAGGCCUUUUGUUUUACAUAAGUUUUUAAUAUGGUGACCAUGAGAACAUUCAGAUCUGCUGGUAAAGAAUAGAAAACCACACAUUUCAAUGACAUGCAGAUAAAAAGAUCCAAAUGACUUUGAAAUUUGCUCUCAUGACAGUUAGCUUCCCCUUUAGAUAGUUGUUUCUCUGGAAUGAGUAAGUCACCAUGGACUUACUGUGCAUUGAUCUCCUAGCUACUUGGAGUAAACAGAGCACCUUGGGCCUCUUAAAUUUCUUGACUACGUUUCUACUACUUCCUCAAUCCCACUGUCCACACUUUCAAUUUGGGAAGAACACAAAUCCUAAUGUAGUUCCCUCAUCAGUAGGGGCAUCAGUACACUCUGACUCUUUAAAUCACAAGUACGCUAGCAGUUAUGACAGCAAUAUUUAGGAAAAUGCUAUCAAAGAUGGCAAUAACCACACUGAGGGGCCAUGGCUCCAUCAGCACUAUUGCUGUCAUUUUCACCACCUGAUUACUUAUUUUCAGGAAAACGACAUUGUUUGACUCACUAAUGUUCCAAGCCUUAUAUUCAGUUCCUAAAUAGUCUCCGAACUCCAGGGCUAAUACACAUAGGUGAGCUAUCCACGCCUAGAAGUGAAGACUGUCAAAAUGUCAAACAGUUUGAGGAAGUAGGGAAAGAGGGUAAUAGAAAACAAAGCAAGGCAAGGACAGAAAAGAAUAAAUCACUGCACCAAACCAGUAAGAUAAACGGAUAGAAGUGUGUUGUCUUGGUUGGAAACAAGGAGAACAGAGAUCAUUAGUACAGACCCACUAAUCCAAUCAGAAAACAGGUACUCAGAGCAUAUCCGAGCUCACACAACUUAUUAAUGGCAAAAUCAAGUGCAGAGAAAACCUAUCUUCAGGUUCGUCAUGUGUAAACUGUAAAAUACAGAUGAUAGUAAUUGUAUGGAACCCAAAGAGUUUUGAAGAUUAAGUGCGUCAAUUGGCAGAAAGAAUUGACAACAGGGUCUGACAGACAGUAAACACUGUGGGUUAGCCCUCCUCCUCCUCAUGAUUAGGAUACUUGGAUCUGUGGGAUUUUUAUUCUCUUAUAUCAUACAAGCUGUAUCUAGGAUACGGCGGCUGUAUCAGCUCUGAUGCUGAGACUUCAGCAUCAAUUUAAAGUCACACUUUUGGGUCACCUGGGUGGCUCAGUCAGUUAAAUGUCUGGUUCUUGAUUUUGAAUCAGGUCAUGAUCUCAUGGUUCCUGGGUUCAAGCCCCAUGGUCGGGCUCUAUGCUGACAGCACAGAAGCUUCUUGGGAUUCUCUCCCUCCUUCUCUCUGCCCCUCCCCACUCACGAGCGUGUGCUCUCUCUCUCAAAAUAAAUUUGAAAAAAUAAACAUUUUAAAAAAAAUAAAUAAUCUUAUUUCCAGGUUUUUAGCUGGACCAUCAAAUUUGUAUUACAAAAAAGGAAGUUGGAAUGAGACUCUGAAGUUAAGCAAUGACCCAACUGUUUUCUGUAUCCUACCUGGCACACAAUGUAGAUAUGUAGUCAAUGCAGAGAACAUGGAGGUGCCCAUAUGAAUGGAAGGAAGCAAAGGCAUGAUUAAUCUAGACUAAGAGAGGCCACAGCAAGAGCAAUAUUUGGCUUCAGGAAGAAAACACACUCUCAGUCGGUAGCGUGUUCACACAUUCUCAUGCAGAUACUUCCCAGUUAUCUCUUUGGAGCUAACCACAGGUAAUGGGUGUGGAGGAUUGCUUGCAACCACCAGAAGCUAGAAAGGCAAGGGAGGAUCUUCCCUAGCACCUUAAGAAGGCACAUGGCUCUGUAGACACCUGGAAUUGGGACUUGGAGCUUCUAGAACUGUGAGAGAAUACAUUUCUGUGGUCUUCAGAAAUGCAUUCUAGGGUGUUUUAUUGCUGCAGCUCUGAGAAACUAACACAGCUUCCUUUCCCUAAAUGUGGAUAAUUAGAUGUGUCUCUAAUACAGGACCCGGGUCCUUGCUGAGCAAUAGAAAGAAUAAGACCGCAGGGAUUCCAGAAGAAAAAUGCCAUUCCAAAUGGAACCAGUUAACCAUGUCCAGAAAUUAGGAGGAGAAGACAGGAAGGAAAUUAUAGUAGUUACAUAAUAAAAUGAGUGUCUCAUAUUUGUAAAGCACUUUAGACUUCCAUUUUUUACUAUCAAUCACCAGGGUGGGCAAUGCUAGACCAACUGAAUCAGAACCUCUUAGGAAUAAAGACCCAGGAGUGUGUGUUUUGAAGAGGCUCACCAGGCUAUCCAGAUGCACCAGGAGAGUUAAGAAACCACUUUGUAAGCCCAGUAGUGCUCUUUUCUCUUCAUUAAAGCAGCCUCAUAACAGAGACAUUUAAAUACAUUUAAAUUAAUUAUUUAGAACUUCAGAAUGCUGAGCUUUAAAUGCAAAAUGUUACUUCAUGAAAAAGGUUUGGAUCAAACUGGGUUAACUUGUCCUUUCUUGGCUUCUGCUUUCAGACUCAUCUCUUGCCUCACGGCAAUACGUUCAAGUUGGACUGAAUCACAAAAGCCAGAGAUAGAACAUUAGCUCCUGAGUUUGCUCCAUAUGCUCCUGUAGGAGUUUGCCUUGUAGUUAACCUCGUUACAACUCAAGAUCCAUCAUAACAAGUGCUGGAAUGCCUGAUGCAGACAGAAACAUGUUAGAGAUAAGUCACUGUGCUGGCAUUUAGGGCGACUGCAGAUACAUGAUGAUACCUAAACCCUGUUCAUUGUAUCCUAAGUAUGAAUCCACAGUGGGUUGGACAUAUACUAGAACCAUUUGAAAGUUACAAGGUCAUGCUGCUUCGCUCCUGAGUACUUUGUCCUGAAUCCAUAAGAAAAAAAAUUCUCUGAGGCUCUGGAUGGCUAAGUCUGUUAAGGUCCGACUCUUGAUUUCAACUCAGGUCAUGAUCUCGUGGUUUUUGAGUUCGAGCUCUGCAUCAGCUCUGUGCUGACCGUGUGAAGCUUGCUUGGGAUUCUCUCUCCCUCUCUCUCUGCCCCUCCCUUGCUUGCAUGCAAGUGUUCUCUCUCUCUCAAAAUAAAUAAAUAUAAAUUUUUUUUAAUUCUCCAAAACAGCAACAGUACUGUUGUCCCAUGAAAGUUAACAAGAAUUCAAUGUCACCUAAUAAACAGUUCAUAUUUAAAUUUCACCAAUUCUUUCAAAAAUACAGUUUUUUUUCCCAUUUGAGAUUUAAUCCAAUUCCAUAUACUGUAUUUGGUUGCUAUAUCUUUUCAGUAUAUUCUGAUCCAUGUGUUUUAAAAAAAUCAUUUGUUUUUCAUGACAUUGACUCUUUUGAAUAAUCUAGGCAAGCUGUCUUGUAGAAUGCCCUACAUUCUGGAAUCAUCUGUUGUUCAUGCUUGGAUUGAGGUAGAAAGGGCAUUUUCAAACUCCAGAAUAUAUAGGAAAGACAUAAUCCAGACAAAGUGAGUAUGCCGAAGUUAAUGGAGAGACUCUCCAUAGCUUCUAUUUUACUCCUUAUGGAAUGUCAAUAACUUAGCCACAGAAUGGCCCUCUUCCACAGGCGAGGAUUAGGUAACCACCAUUCUAGAAAAUAAAAAUGAUUCUACCACAGACUGUCUAUCAACAAAUGGUAUCACUGGUAAAAGAUGCCAGGUCUUCAGAAGACUGACCUAAGUUCCCACCAGGGUUCACUUAACAGGUUUUAGGGCAGUUACUCAUUUCAAUCAAUGUGUUGAGCCAACUCAGCCUUAUCUGACCCUGGAUAUUGCCUAGGAUCAAAGUCAAAUGUGGUAGGGCCCAAGGUCUACUCAUAGUUGACAAAAGGAAACUAGAAUUUGGCACCUGCUGACUUGCCGAGAGCCCCAUGCCUACGGCUGUUGGGAGCACCCAUGAUAGCCUGGAGGACUGGAGCAAGGUGCCCAGGUAAAGCUGGGUGGAGAGGUUCACGGUGCUUACACAUCACCCACCUGCCUUUUUCCAGAACUUGCUCGGUGCCAGGAAUGUCCUAAUUACCACACGCCCCACUUAUUGCAGAGCUCUUUCAGUCAUAGACAAUAAACUACACAUUUAAGCGUGAGCAAAAAGUUGUAUCAUGGGGGUGCCUGGGUGGCUCGGUUGGUUGAGCAUCAGACUCUUGAUUUCUGCUCAGGUCAUGAACUUGCGGUUCAUGAGUUCGAACCCACGACAGGCUCUGUGCUGACAGCUCGGAUUCUAUGUCUCCCUGUCUCUCUGCCCUUCCCUCACUCACUCUGUCUCUCUCUCUCUCUCUCAAAAAUAAAUAAACAUUAAAAAUAUAUAUAAAUAAAAGUUCUGUCAUGGUACUAUGGCUUUCACCAAGGGACUUCCUUAGUUAUGCUGAUUAGGAUUGUAAUGCGGGACACAGGAUCCAGGCCAGAGACAGACUCCAGGCAGGACCAUUGUUUCCUCUCUGGGGCAGAGGGUCUCCAGCUCCACCCAGCAGUCUUUGUGGGGUGCCAAAAGUUCUCCUCCCAUGGGGAGGUCUAUAGCCCUCGGGGUGGGGGUGGAGGGAGACCUUCACUCCAUCAGGUGCUUUCUCUCCACCUACAAGGCACAUUUGUGGUGAGGGAAGAAGAGAGAGCUGUAGUAGCCCCCCUCUGAAUGGUUUGUUGGUCCACCCCACUCCUGAAUGCACCCCUCACCCUGGUGACGGGGUGCACAACACAGGGCAGUGCACACCCAAAGUGUCACAAUGCCAAUUUAUUUUAAAUGGACACUCCUCUGCUUCUGAAAAAGUAUCUGCCCGAGGCUUACAAUAACAGACACUUCUCACCUCCAUUACUCCACUUCCAGCCAACCGCUCUGGUGUCUGUU